AAUGAUUCUAGUUGAAAGAAAGAAAAAAGGAAGGAAGAAAGGAGGAAGAGGCAGGCACAAGACAAAAUGAAUCUCUCCGCUGUGCACAUGGAGCCUUAGCUCUGAUUCCAGUUGAGCAAAAUUAUGAAGAAGAUGAUUCCCCAUAUGGAUGACAGAUAAACACCCUGUGGCGAGUCACUCACUCCCGAAAGGCCCUCUGAAGGAUCGCGCAUGUCCUGACUGCACAGCCUGCUCCUGACAAUGCUCUCAAAGCCACGGUUGUAAUAGAAAUUGGAAAAUCAAAGCAGAUCCAUGUGGCCUCAGCAUAACGAAAACAAGGAAUAAAUGGAUGUUACUACUACUAGUACUGCUUCUGCUGCCAAGUUUUUGAGCACAUAACCAGGAUGACAACCACAGUUCCACAAAGCUCUGAUAAAACAUCAAAAAGAAACUCACCACCAAGGAAACCAGAGAAUCCUUUCUUGUCUUGAGUGAAUGGCAAUGAUCUUGGUGGCCAAGAUAAUAAAUACACGUUUAUUAUAUUGAAAAACUAUUCUAAAAUAUAUGUUCUCUAUAUAAAGUAAUCUCCACAUGAUUCUGAGAAAAAGUUUAAUCUAUCUUUCUACUACAAAGUUCUUAAUAAUGCUUUGACAAGGAGGUACCAUAUCCCAAGAUGUGAUACACUUUGCUCAGUUUUUAAAUUAAACAUUCUAGAGUAACUUAUAGAGUGAUGUCAGCAUGAUGGCCAACUAGAGUUGCCUGACACAAAAAGGUACCAAAACAAUAAAUAAA
ensembl:lncRNA THSD4-AS1 THSD4 antisense RNA 1